rnacentral:rRNA from 1 species
AGUGAACGCUGGCGGUAGGCCUAACACAUGCAAGUCGAACGGCAGCACAGUAAGAGCUUGCUCUUACGGGUGGCGAGUGGCAGACGGGUGAGGAAUACAUCGGAAUCUACUUUUUCGUGGGGGAUAACGUAGGGAAACUUACGCUAAUACCGCAUACGACCUACGGGUGAAAGCAGGGGAUCUUCGGACCUUGCGCGAUUGAAUGAGCCGAUGUCGGAUUAGCUAGUUGGCGGGGUAAAGGCCCACCAAGGCGACGAUCCGUAGCUGGUCUGAGAGGAUGAUCAGCCACAGGGAAAUGAGGACACGCCCCAACCCCGGAGGGGAGGCACGGGUGGGAAUUAUUGGAGAAGGGGCGAAGGCGUAUACUGGACAAACGGCGUGGGUAAGAAAGGCCUUCGGGGUGUAAGGCCUUUUGGUUGGAAAGGAAAAGAGCCAGGUUAUCCCCCACCUUUUUGACGGUACCCAAAGAAUAAGCCACGGCUAACUUCGUG